AGAGACUCUGCGGUUUCAACCUUAUCUUCCGUGACUUCACACGACAGGUACUUCCCGCAAUGGCUUUUUUCGACAGAAGGGGAGCUCUCUGCUCUCUUUCUCGCUAUGCAUUGGUCUCUCGAUAAGGGUCUUUCUAGAGAGUUACUUUUGAAGUUGAUUGUCUUGCAGCUUGCACUGUGGAUUCGGAACUGCCAUAACGACGUCAUGGAGAAGAGUCGUUUCGCAAGUCUUUGUAGUCUGUUUUUUUAUUGUAACAUCACUUGUAAGAUGAUUUUUGUUAGGAGAGCUAGAAAUCAAACAACACAUAAAAUAACUCGUUGCUCACAUUUUUAACUUCAAAGAUUGAUAUAACUACUCCUAACUGGUUAUGUGUAUCACGUAUGUGUAUCCAAAACAUCCAAGACUUUCUCAUAAUGAUUGAACAACCACUUGAAUUUACUAAUAAACGCUUCCAUUUGGCCUCUUACAUAAAUAAAUCAAAGGCCAAAAUCACCCCUCCUGCUCUGCCUCCAGGAAAGCAGGAAGAACAGAGGGAAUUAGCGGGGAAAUGAAGAUGGAAUUUGAAAAAAUAACGAGAAAAUAUUUAAAAAAUGCAUCUUCCUUGUUCUGUAGUAUUCAAACUGUAAGUUUGUUUUUGUGG
rnacentral:lncRNA from 1 species